rnacentral:rRNA from 1 species
GCGGUAACAGGUGUAGCAAUACAUGCUGACGAGCGGCGAACGGGUGAGUAAUGCUUCGGAAUCUGCCCAAUGGUGGGGAAUAACCAGCCGAAAGGUUGGCUAAUACCGCAUAAGUCCUACGGGGGAAAGCAGGGGAUCGCAAGACCUUGCGCCGAUGGAUGAGCCGAAGUCGGAUUAGCUAGUUGGUAGGGUAACGGCCUACCAAGGCGACGAUCCGUAGCUGGUCUGAGAGGACGACCAGCCACACUGGGACUGAGACACGGCCCAGACUCCUACGGGAGGCAGCAGUGGGGAAUAUUGGACAAUGGGGGAAACCCUGAUCCAGCGACGCCGCGUGUGUGAAGAAGGCCUGCGGGUUGUAAAGCACUUUUAGUGGGGAUGAAAAGCUCAGGGCUAACACCUCUGGGUCCUGAUCUAACCCACAGAAAAAGCACCGGCUAACUCUGUGCCAGCAGCCGCGGUAAUACAGAGGGUGCGAGCGUUAAUCGGAAUUACUGCGCGUAAAGCGUGCGUAGACGGUUAUGUAAGUCGGGUGUGAAAGCC